GGGAAGCCGUAGCGAAAGCGAGUCUGAAUAGGGCGAUUGAGUCGCGUGUCCUAGACCCGAAGCGGAGUGAUCUACCCAUGGCCAGGUUGAAGCGCGUGUAAGAGCGCGUGGAGGACCGAACCCACUUCAGUUGAAAAUGGAGGGGAUGAGCUGUGGGUAGGGGUGAAAGGCCAAUCAAACUCCGUGAUAGCUGGUUCUCCCCCGAAAUGCAUUUAGGUGCAGCGUCACGUGUUUCUUCCCGGAGGUAGAGCUACUGGAUGGACGAUGGGCCCUACAAGGUUACUGACUUCAGCCAAACUCCGAAUGCCGGGAAGUGAGAGCGUGGCAGUGAGACUGUGGGGGGAUAAGCUUCAUAGUCGAGAGGGAAACAGCCCAGCCACCGGUUAAGGCCCCUAGCGUGUGCUAAGUGGGAAAGGAUGUGGAGUUGCUGAGACAACCAGGAGGUUGGCUUAGAAGCAGCCACCCUUGAAAGAGUGCGUAAUAGCUCACUGGUCAAGUGAUUCCGCGCCGACAAUGUAGCGGGGGCUCAAGUACACCGCCGAAACCGUGGCAUUCAGUUUUGCUGGAUGGGUAGGGGGAGCGUCGUUCACGAGGUGAAGCCAGCGGGUAACUUCUGGUGGAUUGUGGACGAGUGAGAAUGCAGGCAGUAGCGAAAGACGGGUGAGAAACCCGUCCGCCGGAUGACUAAGGGUUCCAGGGUCAAGCUAAUCUGCCCUGGGUAAGUCGGGACCUAAGGCGAGGCCGACAGGCGUAGUCGAUGGACAACGGGGUUGAUAUUCCCGUACCAGUGAAGAACCGCCCCAUGCUGAGCCGGUGAUACUAACCGCCCGAACCAUCCCGAACCUCUCUUGACGGGGGACGGUGGUGGGGAGCGCGGGACCUGAACCGGGGGAGGCAAGCGCAUUAACAGGUGUGACGCAGGAAGGUAGCCGGGCCGGGCAAUGGAAAUGACCUGGUCUAAGGGUGUAG
rnacentral:rRNA from 1 species